rnacentral:rRNA from 1 species
UACGUAGGGGGCAAGCGUUGUCCGGAUUUAUUGGGCGUAAAGAGCGUGUAGGCGGCUUUGCAAGUCGGGUGUGAAAUCCCUCAGCUCAACUGAGGAAGUGCGCCCGAAACUGCAGAGCUUGAGUACCGGAGAGGAUGGCGGAAUUCCCCAAGUAGAGGUGAAAUUCGUAGAUAUGGGGAGGAACACCGGUGGCGAAGGCGGCCAUCUGGACGGAUACUGACGCUGAGACGCGAAAGCGUGGGGAGCAAACAGG